AAAAUAGAUCCAAAAUCUCCAUGUAUAUGAGAAGGGUAGAUAGGAGUAUGAUAAAUAAAGUAACACAAAAGAUAAAUACUGUCAUACCAUACAUCCAGACGCAGGACAUAACACAAACAAGGUAUCUUCUCCGAGC